UGAACAAAAAUAAUAAGAAAAAAAUCCGCGCAAUUCUUGCUGAGCUGCGGGUGAUGGAGCUGACCCACUUUGGCACAGCUCCGUGGUCCCCAGCCUCUCCUGCUCCAGCUGCUUCCUGGCUGGGCCACAUUUAUCUCACACUUGCACGGCCUGUGGCUUUCCCUGCCACCUUCAGACAAAGCCCCUUGCUGACGGGGCUGCACAAUGGAAUGGCCAGGAAACAGAAUGCCAGGAUGCCUGCUUCCUAGGCAAACCAGGUCGGGGAUCCUCCAAGGCCACCCCAGGCUGGGAAAAGGUUGUGGCAACGCCUCCAUCCUCCUGAGGUGUUUAGGCCAGGGUGGGCAACUGUGCCCUUAGUUACAUCCCACCCAAGAGUCACUGAUGAUGUGGAAGACACAGGUGGUGUUAUUGCAAGGAUCACAUCUGAGCCUCCAUGUUGAGUGACACCUGGGAGGGGGGGAACCAAGGAUGAGGAGGCCAAGCACCUGCUCAAGGAAGUGAGACUGCCGACUGCAGGAGAAAAUAAGGAGCCCCAGCCAGGAGGCCAGGACGUGGUCCUGCCCUCCCUGGUCACGGCUAAGAAGCUGACGUGAUUCCAGAAAACAAGGCCAUACGUGGAGCUGAGAAGCAGGCCACUGCUAGCAUAAUUCAUUAAAAACAUCUCACAGAUACGGAGUGAGCUUCAUGCCCAUCAUUGUGCUAA